AUACUUACUUGACGAGGGCUUUCACUGCGAUCAGGCAGGCAGUGGGUCCAAGGUGAGGCUUCGCCAUUGCACUUCGGCUUAGUUGACCCUUGCGAUUACCCCAAAUGCGGGUAACUCGUUCGUGUAAUUUCUGAUACUGGGGAUUGAUGAACUACUGCACUCGAC
rfam:Ciona intestinalis ciona1051, whole genome shotgun sequence.